rnacentral:rRNA from 1 species
ACUUAAAUUGAAGAGUUUGAUCAUGGCUCAGAUUGAACGCUGGCGGCAGGCCUAACACAUGCAAGUCGAGCGGUAGCACAGAGAGCUUGCUCUCGGGUGGCGAGCGGCGGACGGGUGAGUAAUGUCUGGGAAACUGCCUGAUGGAGGGGGAUAACUACUGGAAACGGUAGCUAAUACCGCAUAACGUCGCAAGACCAAAGUGGGGGACCUUCGGGCCUCAUGCCAUCAGAUGUGCCCAGAUGGGAUUAGC